UACGUAGGUGGCGAGCGUUGUCCGGAUUUACUGGGCGUAAAGAGCGCGCAGGCGGUCGAAUAAGUCGAAUGUGAAAGCCCCCGGCUCAACUGGGGAGGGUCAUUCGAUACUGCUCGACUUGAAGGCAGGAGAGGGAAGUGGAAUUCCCGGUGUAGUGGUGAAAUGCGUAGAUAUCGGGAGGAACACCAGUGGCGAAGGCGGUUGCCUGGAGCUUUGCUGACGCUGAUGCGCGAAAGCGUGGGGAGCGAUCCGG
rnacentral:rRNA from 1 species